GUGGGACUUGCCAGCUUCUCUGAUGCCCUGGGAGACCGCUUGUUUAAUAAACUCCAUCAUAUCUGGAGUAGGGGCAGUAGUGGAAGUGCCUGCGGCUGUAGAGAGGCAUUCUGUGCAGAGACGCUUGCCUUCCAGAGGUUUAUUGCUGCAGGCUUCGCAUCUCUUCUUCAUAGGCGACUUGCCUUUGGAAGUUCUGGAUGCUUUAAUUCCCGUAGAGCUGACAUAAUAG